UACGUAGGGUGCGAGCGUUAAUCGGAAUUACUGGGCGUAAAGUGUGCGCAGGCCGCCGAGCAAGUCGAGUGUGAAAGCCCCGAGCUUAACUUGGGAACUGCGCUCGAAACUACUUGGCUAGAGUGUGGCAGAGGGAGGUGGAAUUCCACGUGUAGCGGUGAAAUGCGUAGAGAUGUGGAGGAACACCGAUGGCGAAGGCAGCCUCCUGGGCCAACACUGACGCUGAGGAGCGAAAGCCAGGGGAGCAAACGGG
rnacentral:rRNA from 1 species